GCCUUCGUGGUGAAACGGUAGCAUAUUCGACACAUAUUCGAGAGAUACAGGUUCGAGUCCCGGCUAGGGCA
rnacentral:tRNA from 1 species